GAUGAACGCUGGCGGCGUGCCUAAUACAUGCAAGUCGAGCGAACGGUCGAGAAGCCUGCUUCUCUGAUGUUAGCGGCGGACGGGUGAGUAACACGUGGAUAACCUACCUAUAAGACUGGGAUAACUUCGGGAAACCGGAGCUAAUACCGGAUAAUAUUUUGAACCGCAUGGUUCAAAAGUGAAAGACGGUCUUGCUGUCACUUAUAGAUGGAUCCGCGCUGCAUUAGCUAGUUGGUAAGGUAACGGCUUACCAAGGCAACGAUGCAUAGCCGACCUGAGAGGGUGAUCGGCCACACUGGAACUGAGACACGGUCCAGACUCCUACGGGAGGCAGCAGUAGGGAAUCUUCCGCAAAGGGCGAAAGCCUGACGGAGCAACGCCGCGUGAGUGAUGAAGGUCUUCGGAUCGUAAAACUCUGUUAUUAGGGAAGAACAUAUGUGUAAGUAACUGUGCACAUCUUGACGGUACCUAAUCAGAAAGCCACGGCUAACUACGUG
rnacentral:rRNA from 1 species